rnacentral:rRNA from 1 species
UACGUAGGGUGCAAGCGUUAAUCGGAAUUACUGGGCGUAAAGCGUGCGCAGGCGGUUUUGUAAGUCAGUGGUGAAAGCCCGGAGCUCAACUCCGGAACUGCCAUUGAAACUGGCGAACUUGAGUACGAGAGAGGUGAGUGGAAUUCCCAGUGUAGAGGUGAAAUUCGUAGAUAUUGGGAAGAACACCGGUGGCGAAGGCGGCUUUCUGGACGACAACUGACGCUGAGACGCGAAAGCGUGGGGAGCAAACAGG